CUUCCCGCUCACGCACGCGCGAGCAGCUAUCUCUCUCCCGCGUAUACCCGAUGAUGAAUAAAUUCAACGACACGCGCCGCGAUGUAUGAGCGAGGAUUCCCUUGCUCGUUCACAAUAGAAGUUAGUUGGCUCUGAGGAAAACGGAACGAAUGUUUUUCGCAGUUGUUUGUCGAAGCGAACGCUUCGACUAAUAUCGAAUAUCACGGAACAAAUAUGUAGGAGUAUUCGUUUACACUUGAAUUUAGAACGCUUACUUUUACAAAUAAGAUGUUGUGCCGUGAAAAAAUUGCGAUGGAUUAUGACUAUGAAUCGUACAUUAAAAUUCCAUCGAACGCGCGCAGCUGGAUUAUUGAUGUUUGCAGCGAAAACGAUAACGUUCGCAAGAAAAUAAAGUUCCUUAAAACGCGAGACAGUACUUUGUCGUAAACACAAGAGAGAUUAUUCAUGCGAAGCUUAUUUUCAAGGUACACUUUCGUUUCAUACUUUUAAUUUAAAAUGAGUGCUUUUACUUCCCUACUUUUGUUAUUUAGUUACGAACUUGUUUUACCUAAUGAUUGGAUUUCUAUCAACGCUUUUCCUUCCCCUCUGUAAGAAAUUUACAUCGACUGGAGAUUUUUCUCGUCAUCCAAAGCCGGGGGGAAAGAAGGGAAAGAAAUGAGAGAGGAAAGGUGCGCAUCGGUAUUGCAAAAAAAAGAGAGAGAGAGAGAGAGAGAAAAUUGGCUCAAUCAGUGCAUAGAAGCACGAUCGGCGAGGACGAAAAAUAUUUUCUCGAUCAUGUUCAAAGUUUUAUCGUCGGCGGUAAGCAGAGAAAUGAAUGGGAUGGGGAAAAAGGUACAAACGGUUUGCGAAAAGGAGUGCGCUCCGGUAUUUUAUUUGAAGGGGGAUCGGUUCUUGUACGCCCGGGGUCAUGAAAUGACACGCGACCUUCGCAAUCUCGCUGUUCGAAAAUGUGAAUUACACGCCUCGUUAGCUACCAUUUUUCCAAUAAACGACUAUCGAAUUUGUUGUAUUUUUAUGCUAGAGAAGAGAGCCGAAAGAACGAAAUUUAAAAAUAUUGCGAAUACACUAUAGUUUCGAUGUAUUUAUAAAACGGAACGAAAAUAUUCGCGUUGCAAAACAAACUCAUUUAAUGAAGUUUUAUGAAUACAAUUUACAUGCGUCGCAAUAACACGAGGGAAGCUUUGGAAUAAAAAAUUUGAAUUAAAAUAGAAUUAGCCUUUAAAAUAGAAUUUGAAUUAAAAUAAAAACAAUGCACGUGUUUUUUCAACAUAUUUAAAUGAGACAUUAGGUGUUCUUAUUUUAAAACAUAUCCGUUUUUCUAGCAGACACACGUCAGCAUAUUCACACCGAUCUCCAGUACACAGCUGCGUCUCGUUAGCAACUCUAAUUACUUUGUCAGCUUGAAAGUAAAAUUAUUCGUGAGGUGAUUAGUUAAAAAUAAUGGGGUAAUGCAUUUUACAUUUCUCUCGUUGUUUUCGUUAAUAGCAUCGCACAAACAACAUAAUUCAGUUAAACACGCCGCAGUAAGUGUUCUUGUAAUUCGUAAUGAAUGACAUACUCGUAAACAGCAGUGCAGCAAGUGUUUUUGAUGUCUAAAGACACUUGGAAAGAAAGUAUAAAUUUUAAAAUAGAAAUUUUUUAACUUCGCAGGCGAAUAGUAGAGAAAUCUCUCUGAUACCUUAAUUUGUGUUUCUUGCGUCUGUUUCGACGAAAAAUAAAAUUGAAAAUCAUUUCUUUUCCGUCUUAUUGUGUCAUGCGAGCCAAUGUGUUAAUAAGUAAGUGCAAUUUGCGGUGGUAAAAUACCGCGCGGUUUUUCAUAGAGAAAUACGAUCUCGAGGAAGAUUUCAGCGGACUCCGGGAUAUAUAUAUAUGAAUCUCUGUUAAGGGAACGACGUUAAAGCCGGGCAAAUAUUUGAGCGAAAACAUUGGUUUGUGUACCCUGCGUCCAGAGGAAAACUUUUAAGAGUGCACACGAGUGAGAUUUUAAAGACGAAACGGCCACGUUUAUUACACAACUCAAUUAGUGGCCUUUUUCUCGCCUUUUUCCUCUUUUUCCAUUUAUGCGUAUUAUUUCUCGCUUCCUUUCGAGUGGAUGCCCCAGCUCCUUCGACAAACUCGGUGGAAACGGGACAGAAGGAUGCCGAACUAAAUUCUUUUCCUCUUCGAGCGCGUGGCGAGAGGUCGCCGUCAAGUUCGAGGGUGAUCGUGAGAGGGUCAAGCCGUUUCUCUGCGGCGCGCGGCGCACGGCCACUUAAGGGGCACGGGUUAAGGAGAGGAGUGUUUUCACAAACGAUCAGUUUGCACGUUGCUACCAGCCGAUCGUGGCAACUUGGGUGAUUCAGGAACUUUAAUGUAAAGGAGAUUUACUCGCGUAACUACUUAAGUUCCGCUAUCGGAACGAGCGGCGGCGGCUCCUACCGGUAAUCGGCGAACCUCGGCGUACCUCUUGUAAACGUAAACACUUAUUCUUCGCCGCGGCCGGAAGCUUAUCGUCCGAUAAAAACGAGAGCAGGAAGAAGAAGAAGAAAAAGAAUGCAGGUGCAGAGAAGUGCGCGCCGGGAAAGUAUUUGGAAAGUUCUGCGGCGGAAGAGUUGUGCGCGGAAUCAUUACGGAGAUACGACACGGAAGCUCCGCCGCUGGGUGGAUUUCUCUGGGUCGUCUCGCAGAAUUUCUCUCGCGCCAUCGUCUUGCACGCUAAAAAUACAGUUGUUCAAUAUGGGGAUUUUUUUUUUUUUUUUUUUUGAUCGUAGGAGUAAAUUUGUUUGCAGAAGUUGCGUUUUUUACUCUCUUUGUAAAACUGUGUGUGUGCCAGGUAUUUAUUUAUUUAUUUUUUUUUUUUUCAUGGAAAAACUCACGCGACGCGAUGGUGGGAAAAAGAACGGAGAAAAAAGCGCGAUACAGAAGGUAGACCUAAAAAGUUAAGUCCCCGAAAGGUAAAUGGAGCGCACGUGAUAAACUGAUAUAAAGUGCAGUGCUAUUGCAAGCUCGCGAGGCUUCUCGAGCGCUCUCGGUGAGGAAGAAAUCGAGAAAAAUUGCAGCAAAUUGUAAUCGUUGAAGCGCGUACCUCCACUCGAAAAAUUUCAACUGCACUCCGCGUGCGAAAAUUCCGCGAUAUAAAGUUAAUUAGGACAACGCAACUUCUCUCUUUCUCUCUUUCUCUCUCUCUCUCUCUCUCUCUCUCUUCUCCACAAUAUACAAUCAAACAAGAGAAGUAAUUGAAGUUGUCGAACGCGCGUCAGCAUCCGUAUCUCUUCAUGAUGGAUUCACCCGUGGGGGAACAAAGCCGAAACUUCGCGGAUCUCGCCUCAACUCUCGCGAUAUUUCACAAUAGUAAAUUCGUGGCGCGCAACAUUAUUCAUUCGACGAUGCUACUCGGAAUAUUCGAUAACUUCGCACCUUGGAAAAAUGACGUGUAAGAAAUCAUAUACGCGUACACAUUCAUAAUUUUAUUUCUCAUACGUUUCAAAUGCAAUUCUCGCGGCGAAUUAUAUAGUUCACGAUCGGACGCGUUUAAUUAUCGGUAAAAUUCUGUUCUACAUUCUCGUCGCGAAUUAUAACACGGGAUUUACGAGAAAAUUAAGCCGACCAAAUUUAUUUGCGUUUGACUCUUGCUCUCCAUUGAAAUCGAAAUGAAAUGUUUGAACUUGAAGUAAAAUGCUGUAUUUAUUUUUGCUUGAGCGAUGAUUAAUAUUAGGAUUAAUAAUAGGAUAGCAAAUGAUUUAUUGCGAAGGCACGUCGCACAUCAUCUCGCGCAAUUUAUAUGCGUUCAGACUCAGACAAAUUUGCUAACAUAUUUUGUAAUAUAAGUAAUAGAUGAACAUGGGUCUCUAAACGAUUUAUUACAGCGUUACUUGCGCGAAACGUAAGCAUCUUCGUAUACGCCGCCGCCGCUGCAGACGUGAUUAAAUUUGAUUCUACGCUGCUAACGAGGAGAUCAUAGCAAACCUCACCGCGGAAAUUAAGCAUAUUAAACGUAUCGAACAUAUUUUAAUUAAAAUCUUUCUCUCCCGUUUCUGCCAGCUGCAUUUUUUUACUUAUAAUACUCGUAAAAGCGCGUUUUCGACGUUUAUCAGACAUUCUGCUCAAAGUCGACUUUUUCUCGAUGAGAAUGAGGAAUGUUGUCGUCCAAUGUAUCAUGUUUACAUUGCUCUAUCCGGAAAUUGUGUGCGUCAGAUUUUCUGUCGCAUCUCGCAAGAAAAUUGAAUUAUGAAACGGGAUGACUUUCAUGGUUCUUUACAUUCGAGCGAAAAUAAAUCUUAACCUUCUUUUGAGACAGAAGCUGUCAGGAUACAGUUUUUCUCCUUAAGAUAACAAGCAUUCAACUAUUGAGCGGGUCGAGAUAACGAGAUCAGCGCGUUUCGGACAUCUAUCAAAGCAGUCGGUCGAUGCCAAAUCACAAUUGCCCGUGAAAUUUCAUUAAUCGCGUCGCAUCAUACAAAAUAAGCCGUUUGGACGCCUGUUAAUCGCCGAGAAAGGGAGAAGUGGAGCUGCACCGAUGCCAAACCACCUGUGAAACGCCACCGUUAAAGUAUUCUGGCUCUCGUAUAUCUCAGAAAAACACGAGCCAAGAAUUAAACGUCCAAACGAAAACCUAUUAUUAUUACAGUACGGGGGAAUAUACUUGCUAUCGAUUCAGAUUAGAAAUAUCUCGAUGGGUGAAAUAUCGUCCGUCCUCGUCGUGACUUACUUCGCGAAACGUGAAGUUAUCUCGCGACGCGGAAAAUCGGACGGUAACAAGAGAGACGUGAAAAUGGUAUAAAUCACGCUGCAGUAAAUCCGACCUCAACUCUUUCGCACAUACGUACAUACGCGGCGAGUCCGACGAGGCCGACAGAUGUAAUAUAUCUUUUAUAUGCGCGCAAAAAUCCCAUCUUAUAAAUCCUAACGUUCGUAGAGAUGCGUUUUCGCGGCGACAGGUUUCGGGGACCACCGGGCCACCGGAGAUCAUAAUCGCAGUUAACCCACUUUCCUAAAAGUUCGGAAAGGACUGAUCUAAAUUUAAUUUUCUCUCGAACUUUACGCGCGCUUCGGGAUCAUUUUGUCGAGUGGAGUUCUGUCGAGAGAGAGAGAGAAAAGAGAGAGAGAGAGAAGGGAAGCGAAUAUCACUUCUAUGUUAAAUCUUUCAAUCUCAUUAAAAAUCGGCGAUCCAGUAAAGUGAAUAUGAGAACUGUUGACUUAAUUCUUUUUACGGACUUCGCGAUAUAAGGAUCCAAUCGCACGUGCCAAUUGUGAUGAUUCGGAAUACCGAGCGCGUAUAUAAUGACACGCUUGUUACCCCGUAUGCUACGGACGUCGUAUAAUGUCUGCCAAAGUGUUAACACGCUAACCGCCAUGUCGACGACCGAUGGCUAACGCAGUGUUGUGUCGCUCACGUUGUGCCAACCACCAGCAGGUAACGUAUUAAAGCGAUACGUCGACAAAUUGAAUUUCAGAAGCCGCAGCCAAAGCGUAGUGCCGUAACUAUGGUAGACAAUUUUGCGCUCGAGUGAAUUACGUAAUGCACAGCCCCUCGAAAAUCAUAACGACAAUUUAAAGUUGCCAAUUUGCAGUUUUCGUUCACGCUUGUCUCCUAAAAAAUAUUCGACGCUAAUUAACAAAGUAGAAAUACCGAUUUCGUCAUGCGCUAUCAGCAUCCGAUGUACCCCGAUUUUAUUCAGUUUUAUUUAUCCCCCUAAGUCUGCGUUUGCAACAUCCAUCUAGAAAAAUUAAGAAUCUAUAAUAAUCUAUUUUUUUAGUUUAAUAAAUGGAGCCACAUAUUUUUUUAAAAUGACGUUAUCGAUUAUUACAUUUAUUAGAUUGCAUUUAUAAAAAUUUUACGUUCUCGCUCUCAUCAUUCGCUCGCUCGCUCGCUCGCGCUACGUGGCUGUCAAGAUACACAUCUUGUGGACGCUUAUACCUCGAGACUACCGCAUUCGAUAACCGCAGCAGAUAUUGUUCGGGAGAGAAAUGUAAGCAGAUAGAAAUCGGAGUUGAAAUCGGUGAAAGAGGAACCUCGACCAUCAUCUCCGUGCGCGUCCGAAGAAUUUCUAUUACCUCAGAGACACACCCCUUUUCGCUCGCCUUCUUGUUUUUCUUUUUCUCUCCUCCUUUUCUUCGAAUGGCAGGAAAACCGAUGAAGGGAAAAGGUAGAAGAAAUGGGAGAGAGACAAUAAUAAAUGGCGCGGAGGUAGAGUUACGCACGACUGUGUCACAUACCGAGCGAGUUUCUUUCCAAAUGUCUCGCGAUACUACCGGUAUAUAAACUUUAUUAUAUAAACAAUAUUUUUCUCAGAACGCUCCGAACGCGCGUUAUUUUAUUAUAUUUUUGUAUCUGGAAGUCACGCUGAAACGGAUAUUCAAAUUCGACUGCGAAAUUCUCGAAUAAAUAUGAAAGUGCGCCUCUUCUCGAGGCGUUUCAAAAUAUAUCAGUCGCACGUGAUACACUUCCAGGAAUCUUACUGCCACCUCUUUGUUAGGAACGUUAUUAUUUGCGAUUUAGUCGAAGCUCUCGAAAUUGCGAUCGUACCGCGGGAAGCAGCCGCUGCUGCGAUUUCAUCCGAUUUUCAGGGGGGAUUUCGUUUCUAGCGGCAAAAUUUAUUUUACUUCCUCGAUUCCAAGGUAAACCGGGAGAGCUACUUAUCGCGCCUCUUUUACGGGAUGGGAUCUAAAUUACGGUUGCGGUUUCUCGAGUCAACCGGAGAAUGUUUCUAUCCUCGGGGAUGUUUUCGAGUGGAGCGACCGGCGCAACGCGAAAUGGAUGAGGCAGAGGCGCGAAAAAAAAAAGAAAAACGGCGGCGGAAAGGCGUCGAAAAGCGCUUUAAUCGAAAAUUCAGUUGGUCCCUGGCAGAACAAAAAUGGUUUCAUUUCCAGCUACAUCCGGUUCUCCAAUUUAUUUUCUCGAUCCCUUCAUUCACCUGGAGAAACUAACUUGCUUCACAAUAGCACGCUUGCCCAUGUUCUAUCAGAGCAGAUCUUUUUCGUGACUUUCCGUAGACAAUAUAAACGAUAGUAUCGCACCUUGAAAAAAGUCACGGAUGAAAAAUAAAAUUAUCUUUGAAAAGCAAAAUUGUAAAAUUUGAUUCGGACUUACAGAAUCAUAGAUGGGAUUUGAUUUUAUCAAGUGUUAAGGUACAGAAUUUCGUUUAUUAAGAAGAAUAUAGCUAAACAAUAAAUGUGAAUAGAUGUGCGAUAUGUGUACCAUAAGUGGCAAGUUUAUUAUUACAUCGCGAUGGAAUAGCUGAGGCUAAAUUGAGAGACCAGCUAAUUGAUUAGCUUCUGAAACUAUGGUAUUUUACAGCUUAUGAAGAUAUCGAUUCGACUGACGGUAAACGAAACUAUUCGUCAAACUUCCCUCAAACGCUACUUGCAAACAGUUUUCUAAUUUACGAUUAUGUGCGCCAAGCUUGCGAUAAAUUUGAUCAAAUGCGCCAUGGACCAUUUAGCUUCUAACCUACAGUUUAAAAAAAAAAUGAAAGGAUAGUGAGCAGCAAAAUGCGAAGGAAGGGAAAGGAGCGACAGGGCUUACGAGAGACUUACGAGAGAAAUGUCGUGUAAUUCAAUUUGGAAUUCAGGAAUGUGGAAAAUUGGAGAUGGGAACGCGAUGGCUUCUCGUAAAGAAUUUGUAAACUUUUGCCAAAAAUUAGAUCAGCGUCUCGACCAUUGACAAAAAGUCAGGUAUAAAAGCUCGGAUCAAUAUUUGACGUUAAUUAUUAAUUGAAUAUCACUCCCUUCUCCAAAUAAAAAAUUUAGAUAUCGAAUCGAUUGGUCAGGAUUGAAAUAGUCGCCCUCAUAUAGGGCCAAAAUCACCACAGUUAGAAUUACCGUCAAAUCGGAUGUGUGCGUUUGAAAAAGCCCGCAUGGCGGAGAUAAUGAAGUUCACUCGGUGCCGCCCGAAUCUAGAUUGAAAAAGCUGGAAUUCCGAGCUUGAAACUGGAUGUAAUCUACUUCAGCUUUUUCUCUGCCGAUUAGAUUACACACCUGUGAUAUAUAUAUUUUUGGAAACAAACGACGUAACGCGCGCGCCGGGGACGCAUUACUAAAAAUACCACUGGCGAUCCAUGAAAAAUUCCUUUUAUACGCCCAAUUAAUUACCAAUAUUCGACUCAAACGUUUGCACCAUUGCUUAAUAAUGUAACAGGAGGCGGAAAAAAUAAUUGUGAACAUGACACAGCACAAUCACAUAAAAGUUAAUAAUACGUUUUCAACAGAAUAAAAACUUUCGCGUAGCUUUUUCCGCCAACUUUUUUCAUUUACGUCCUCGUCGGGUAUUUCGGUCGUCGCCUUCCGAUGCUAACUACACGCUGGCUCAUAUAUAUUCCAGUUGGGUGCGCGUGCACGAUAUAUAUCGCACUGCGGAGAUAAUGAAGUUUACGGUGCAGCGGAUCUGGAUCUGAGAGAUCUCGAGUCGCAAGCUUAAAGUAGCCAGGUGAUCCUCUCCGUCUGAUCCACCGGACUCUUUUUAUUUUACCCUUCUCUUUUCCUUCUCGGGAAAGAAAUUAUAAGGGCGUACUGACGGCGCCACAGAGAGGGAGAAAGAGAGAGAAAUUUUUGCGAGGUGCUAUUAUCAUCGUCUGUAAUUGGCGAGUCUGUGUGCCACUUUUAAUUGCAGUCGCGCCCGUUUCAACAGGGAACGUCUCUGGACCACCCUCCGCGGUGCCUCGUAAUCAUCGCUCAUUGAUUCGGUUUCCCAUUGCGUCCCAAAUCUACAGGGCGCGUCAAAAAUCGCUGCUGAUUAAUCACUCCGUAGACACGUUGGACGUAAAAGGGGUGAUCCGCUUUCAAGCUCUUUCACGAUUAUACGUUCUUACCGCAAAAAAAAGUCAACGGCAAUUUAAUCGAUCCUGCACCGAGAGAAAAAAUGGUUACAGUUACGCACACGCACAAUUUUAUAUUAACAGCACGUGCUCGAAAGACUGCGGAACAUAUCUGAUACUUUGUGAAAUUAUUAAUUAUUCUCAUUACAAAAGACAAGAGCUGCGCAAGUGGCAAAGCAGACGCGUACUAUUAUUCAUUGUCUAUGGUUAACAAACUGAUCAUUGCGCAGACAAGCAUAUUCAAAUGAAUUCCGGCGUAACAGGAAAAAAGGUGUUCCAAGAAAAAUGCAAGGCACGUGACAAUUUUAUAUUAGCAACGCGUGCCCAAAAGAAUGCGGAACAUAUCCGAUGCCUUGUAAGAAUUAUUAAUUCUCAUUACAAAAGACAGUAGCUACGCAAGUGGCAAAACAGGUGCGUACUAUUAUUGAUGAAUACAUUGUCUAUGGUUAACAAAUAAAUCGUUACCCAGUGGCACGGUAUAAAUGUCGCCACCACGGUGCGAUACAAACAUUCACAGUCGCAUUAGCAGUCCAAGCAUUAGCAGCGCAAGAUCUCAACAUGAGAAUAACGGUGGUGUUUUUUAUCUUGGCGAUCUUGGUGUGCACCAUGUUCCAGGAAUCUGAACAAUUUUUCAAAUACAGUAGAUGCUGCCGCCGUGGAUGCCGCCGUCGAUGCUGCCGUACAACCACUACGACGACCACUACAACGACAACGACGCCACCUCCUAAUGGUGGAAGAAGAAAGCGCGAGAUCAUAGACGUUCCAUUUGUAAUGCCAUCGGCAAUGGAAGAACAAAUGCGGACAGAAACAAUAAUGAAAUUUUAUAAAAAUUUCAUUAAAGAGUGAAAGAAAAGGAAAAUAAUGUAGUUGUAGUAUUAAACUCCUUAGUAAAAUAAACUAUCGCUUGUAGUAGUUGAAUAGCAAUAAAAAUAUAUCACGCUUAAACAUGGAUAAAUAUAUAAUAAUUGUUUAAGCUUUUCGAAAAAUAACGAAGUUGCGAAUAUAUGAGAAAGUUUUGAUAGAGAUAUAUUUAAGAACCGUCUCAUAAUUUAUAUGUAAUAUUGAAAUGCAUAUUAUAUAUUGUAAUAUAUUUUAUAAUGUAUACAUUCUUAAUACAUGUGUUCAAAUUUAACCAA